rnacentral:rRNA from 1 species
CCUACGGGCGGCUGCAGUGGGGAAUAUUGCACAAUGGGGGAAACCCUGAUGCAGCGACGCCGCGUGAGUGAAGAAGUCAUUCGUUAUGUAAAGCUCUAUCAGCCGGGAAGAAAAUUGCGGUACCUGAGUAAGAAGCCCCGGCUAACUACGUGCAAGCAGCCGCGGUAAUACGUAGGGGGCAAGCGUUAUCCGGAUUUACUGGGUGUAAAGGGGGCGUAGACGGCAGUGCAAGUCUGGAGUGAAAGGCGGGGGCUCAACCCCCGGACCGCGCUGGAAACUGUACGGCUGGAGUGCAGGAGAGGUAAGUGGAAUGCCUAGUGUAGCGGUGAAAUGCGUAGAUAUUAGGAGGAACACCAGUGGCGAAGGCGGCUUACUGGACUGUAACUGACGUUGAGGCUCGAAAGCGUGGGGAGCAAACAGGAUUAGAUACCCGUGUAGUC